GAUGAACGCUGGCGGCGUGCCUAAUACAUGCAAGUCGAGCGAAGCGGGGACGGGUGAGUAACAUGUGGAUAACCUCCUAUAAGACUGGGAUAACCUCGGGAAACCGGAGCUUAACCCGCAGCUUAUAGAUGGAUCCGCGCUGCAUUAGCUAGUUGGUAGGGUAACGGCUUACAAAGGCAACGAUGCAUAGCCGAUCUGAGAGGGUGAUCGGCCACACUGGAACUGAGACACGGUCCAGACUCCUACGGGAGGCAGCAGUGGGGAAUCUUCCGCAAUGGGCGAAAGCCUGACGGAGCAACGCCGCGUGAGUGAUGAAGGUCUUCGGAUCGUAAAACUCUGUUAGGAGGGAGGCGGUACCUAAUCAGAAAGCCACGGCUAACUACGUGCCAGCAGCCGCGGUAAUAC
rnacentral:rRNA from 1 species